rnacentral:lncRNA from 1 species
UCAUCUAAACAGCAUUAUGACACCAUUAUGUUCUCUGAUUGAAGGGAUACAAUGCCAUAUGGAAUAACAUUGUAGCAAUAUGAUAAUUAAGAUCAAUAAAAAACAUAUAUCGUUUUCUAAAAGAGUUUAUUAGUUGAAUCAAAUUUUCUAUUCUUACAAAUUUCGUAAAGAUGAAAGAUAAUAUUGCUUAUGCUAAACUGAAACUGAAUACAGUACAUACAGUACAGUACUUUUUCUUUCCAUUGCCAUUCAGUUACAUAUUAAUAUGUUAAACGUGGAUUAGUUAGAAAGAGUUUCCGGUGGUAUUGAAAGAGGAGGAUGUUUCCUACAACUGCAAUGCUUCCCCAGUGGACUGCGCAGUAGAUGAUCUCGAGAUAUCCUUAAUAGUGUUUUCGUUGUCUUUCUUCGAUCCCUCUCUGGAAGUCAGUUCGGACAGUCGCGCGGGUGACUAUCCACCUACCAAUUCUUUUGGGCCACCAGUAUGAGCUUGGAAAGUCAACUCAGGUCCACAUUGGUGGCUUGGCAGUCGUAAUUAUCUUCCUGCUGUUGGCAAAGCUUCCAGACUAAAUAACAGUCUGGAAGCUUUGCGCUUGUUUAUGCAACAUAGAUGUGCAACCCUAAAUCCAGCAGUGGAUAGGCGUGAUGAUUCUGUCCAAAGAUGCAGUGCCUCGGCGUGUGGAAAGAAAAGUUGUUCCCAGCAUCUUCGAGUGCGACAUUUCUCAUACAAUGUAUCUCUUUCCAUUCACUGGAAAGGGAAACACAGUCUGUGGGGAGGAGACUGUGGAGGAUUUUCAAUUGUAUUUGAUAGCAACCCUGAGAAAGAGAACAUCUGCUCGACCAUUAGUAGACUUUUUCAAGAUCAUCAAUAACCAGGAUUUUCAACUUUGACCAAUUAUGGCUACUGAAAGUGUUAGGAAGUGACCACAAACAACAAAUGUUGCUCCUGUUGUAUUUCCUUAAUUGUGACUUUUGUACAUAAUUUCCCAAAUUGUGUCUUUUCGGUGCAUAGUUUUAGUUUAUAAGUUGUACAUACUAUUAGUUUUUAAGUUUUUUCAUGAUCUACAACUUUACACUUUUUCCAUCUGUGAUUGUGUCUUAACUGAUUUGGAUGAUGACAUAACACCAAAUUCCUAUGGACAGACUUUUCCUUCUCCUAAAGAUGACUGAAGGAUUUGACAUUAGAUGCAACAGAAGUGACAGCCAGUUAGGCAUGGUUUUGACUGGCUUUUUAUUCCCCAUACAUGACAACUCCUGUUUUUUCCCUUGUGAUCAAACUGUCAGGCUAUAUGAGAGGUUUUUGGAUAACAAAAAACCCUGCAGAAUGGGUGUUGCCUUGAGGUUGGCUCUGCAGCUUACAGAAAGAAAUUUAUUAUCUUGGAUGUUCUUAGUUAGAAAAUUAUACAACAGUUUAAUAUUAAAAUAUUUUGCUUGUUUUUAUCUUAGAUCCAGUUAAUCCAGCCAAGAGAAUUUUAGUAUAACAAGUCUGC